rnacentral:rRNA from 1 species
UACGGAGGGUGCAAGCGUUGUCCGGAUUUAUUGGGCUUAAAGGGUGCGUAGGCGGUCUUUUAAGUCAGUGGUGAAAGCCUCCAGCUUAACUGGAGAACUGCCAUUGAUACUGGAAGACUUGAGUACAGACGAGGUAGGCGGAAUUGACAGUGUAGCGGUGAAAUGCAUAGAUAUUGUCAAGAACACCGAUUGCGAAGGCAGCUUACUAGACUGUAACUGACGCUGAGGCACGAAAGCGUGGGGAUCAAACAGG